GUGUUGUUGGUUUCCUGUGUUGCGUACCUAAUCCAUGGCAUUCUUGGAUCGAUCGAUGGUUAUUAUUCGUCUUGUGUGGCUCCUGCGGCAUUAGAUGAACCWUGAAGCGGUCUCAVUGAUCCACGUUGUCGAAGCUCAUGCGUCGACGWUGUGGCUCAUUGGGCAUUGCUUGGACUCUUGGAUACGGAAGCUGUUGUGGGCAUGGGUGUCAUGACCCUUUGUUUGCCCUCGUUGAGCGUUCUCGCUUCUCUAAAACGACUGCCUUCUAGGAAAUUGGCUCGUUACCAGCCUGGUCGGCAACGUCGAAGAGGAAUGCUACCUGGUUGAUCCUGCCAGUAGUCAUAUGCUUGUCUCAAAGAUUAAGCCAUGCAUGUGUAAGUA
rnacentral:misc_RNA from 1 species